GCUUGCAUUGAGUUGAGUGGCUUUUGAAUUAUAUUAUCUAGAUUUAAGAAACUAACUCCAAAGAACUACUGAAGUUACUCUUGCCCUCUCCUUUCAGGUCGAUGAGACGGGUGUGGAAGUUAAGGAUAUCGAGUUGGUCAUGUCACAAGCAAAUGUGUCAAGAGCAAAGGCAGUCCGAGCCCUGAAGAACAACAGUAAUGAUAUUGUAAAUGCUAUUAUGGAAUUAACAAUGUAACCAUCUGAAAAACAAGGAUCUUUUUUGGUGUUUCAAAGAGUAACUGCAGCUUGGUUUGAAAUUUGUACUGUUUCUAUCAUUAAUAAAGUUAUGGCUUCUUGUUGGAUGAACUCA